rnacentral:rRNA from 1 species
GACACUGAGGUGCGAAAGCGUGGGUAGCAAACAGGAUUAGAUACCCUGGUAGUCCACGCCGUAAACGAUGUCGACCAGCCGUUGGGUGCCUAGCGCACUUUGUGGCGAAGUUAACGCGAUAAGUCGACCGCCUGGGGAGUACGGCCGCAAGGUUAAAACUCAAAUGAAUUGACGGGGGCCCGCACAAGCGGUGGAGCAUGUGGUUUAAUUCGAUGCAACGCGAAGAACCUUACCUACUCUUGACAUCCUGCGAAUUCGGUAGAGAUACCUUAGUGCCUUCGGGAACGCAGAGACAGGUGCUGCAUGGCUGUCGUCAGCUCGUGUUGUGAAAUGUUGGGUUAAGUCCCGUAACGAGCGCAACCCUUGUCCUUAUUUGCCAGCGCGUAAUGGCGGGAACUCUAAGGAGACUGCCGGUGACAAACCGGAGGAAGGUGGGGACGACGUCAAGUCAUCAUGGCCCUUACGAGUAGGGCUACACACGUGCUACAAUGGUCGGUACAAAGGGUUGCGAGCUCGCGAGAGUCAGCCAAUCCCGAAAAGCCGAUCUCAGUCCGGAUCGGAGUCUGCAACUCGACUCCGUGAAGUCGGAAUCGCUAGUAAUCGUAGAUCAGAAUGCUACGGUGAAUACGUUCCCGGGCCUCGUACACACCGCCCGUCACACCAUGGGAGUGGACUGCACCAGAAGUGGUUAGCC